GUAGGGUGCAAGCGUUAAUCGGAAUUACUGGGCGUAAAGCGUGCGCAGGCGGUUCUGUAAGACAGAUGUGAAAUCCCCGGGCUCAACCUGGGAAUUGCAUUUGUGACUGCAGGACUAGAGUUCAUCAGAGGGGGGUGGAGUUCCAAGUGUAGCAGUGAAAUGCGUAGAUAUUUGGAAGAACACCAAUGGCGAAGGCAGCCCCCUGGGAUGCGACUGACGCUCA
rnacentral:rRNA from 1 species